rnacentral:rRNA from 1 species
GGGAGGCAGCAGUGGGGAAUAUUGGACAAUGGGGGCAACCCUGAUCCAGCCAUGCCGCGUGUGUGAAGAAGGCCUUCGGGUUGUAAAGCACUUUCAGUUGUGAGGAAAAGUUAGUAGUUAAUACCUGCUAGCCGUGACGUUAACAACAGAAGAAGCACCGGCUAACUCCGUGCCAGCAGCCGCGGUAAUACGGAGGAUCCGAGCGUUAUCCGG